CUUCUUCAGUAAUCCGUGAAAUAUUGCCAUAGAAUCUUUAUUCAUUUGUUUCCUAAUACAUUAAAAGCAAAAAUGUGGUAGCCUUCCAAAUCCAAAUCAACACCCCUUAACGGCUAUGAUUGACCCCUAACAACCGCAAACUGACAGAAGGAGAAAAUCAAUAACAAUCCCGACCCAGAUUUGAAGGCUUGAAGCUAAAGGUCUGAAUUCUUGGUGGGCUCUCGUCCAUUCAGACACGUACAGAGAGAUUGUGUGUGGUGUUUCCCUUUUUUCUUUUUCGGACAUGAGCCUUCUCCGAAGAUUUUCCCCUCAAGUUCAAUUAUUUACAAAAAGGUCCUUCAAAUCUCUGAAAUUUCCUGGUGAAUCUCUGAAUGAAAUCACCUCUCCUUCUCUCAUCCAUGGCAUUCACGUUUUCCAUUGUCCAGAUGUGGUGGGAAUUGUGGCAAAGUUGGCGGAAUGCAUAGCUUCAAGAGGUGGCAAUAUUCUCAGCGCUGAUGUUUUCGUGCCGGAGAAAAAAAAUGUCUUUUACUCAAGAAGUGAAUUUGUCUUUGAUCCUGCUAAAUGGACGCGGAUACAAAUGGACGAGGAUUUUUUAAAGCUAUCAAAGAUGUUCGAUGCCAUGAGAUCUGUUGUUCGGGUACCCAGCCUAGACCCCAAAUAUAAGAUUGCAGUCCUUGCUUCAAACCAGGACCACUGCCUUGUUGAUUUGUUGCAUGUUUGGCAGGAUGGAAAACUUCCAGUUCAAAUCACUGCCAUAAUAAGCAAUCAUGACAGAGGUCCGAACACACAUGUGAUGAGAUUUCUUGAAAGACAUAGAAUUCCUUACCAUUUUCUGCCCACAACUAUAGAGGACAAAAGAGAAGAAGAGAUCUUGAAUUUGGUUCGGGAUACAGAUUUUCUAGUACUUGCUAGAUACAUGCAGUUUAUUGAUGCAGGUACUCUCCGGAAAUUUUCUAAGUAGUUACGGGAAGGAUAUAAUAAAUAUUCACCAUGGCCUGUUGCCCUCUUUCAAGGGUGGGAAUCCAUCUAAGCAGGCCUUUGAUUAUGGAGUGAAAUUGAUCGGUGCUACAACUCACUUUGUCACUGAAGAACUUGAUACUGGGCCAAUUAUCGAGCAGAUGGUCGAGAGAGUUUCCCACAGGGACAAUUUGCGGAGUUUUAUACGGAAAUCUGAGGACCUCGAGAAGCAGUGCCUUGCAAAAGCUAUAAAGUCAUACUGUGAGCUACGAGUUCUACCUUAUGAACGGAACAAGACUGUUGUAUUUUGAGAAUUGUUAUAUCACAGGAUCAAUUGCAUUCAUUUCAUCCAAAUUCACGUACUCUUACUCUGACCUGGUCACGUGAAUUUCAUUGCAUGUAUAAUAUACAAAAAUUAACUUCAGCAUUUUUUCCUUCUGAUACCUGAAAUGAUUUGUGGUUAACAAUUUAAAGCAAAGAGUAGGAAAGAGGAUAAUUUGAUUCAUUGAUCAUGGAUCUUUUAGUUUCUCUAAACUCUCUCUAUUUUGAUGGAUAUUUGGACGUGGAUUGAAUAAUCUGUUGAGUUUAUUUU